UGGGGAAUAUUGCACAAUGGGCGCAAGCCUGAUGCAGCCAUGCCGCGUGUGUGAAGAAGGCCUUCGGGUUGUAAAGCACUUUCAGCGAGGAGGAAGGGUAGUGUGUUAAUAGCACAUUGCAUUGACGUUACUCGCAGAAGAAGCACCGGCUAACUCCGUGCCAGCAGCCGCGGUAAUACGGAGGGUGCAAGCGUUAAUCGGAAUUACUGGGCGUAAAGCGCACGCAGGCGGUUUGUUAAGUCAGAUGUGAAAUCCCCGCGCUUAACGUGGGAACUGCAUUUGAAACUGGCAAGCUAGAGUCUUGUAGAGGGGGGUAGAAUUCCAGGUGUAGCGGUGAAAUGCGUAGAGAUCUGGAGGAAUACCGGUGGCGAAGGCGGCCCCCUGGAC
rnacentral:rRNA from 1 species